rnacentral:rRNA from 1 species
ACUCCUACGGGAGGCAGCAGUGGGGAAUAUUGCACAAUGGGCGCAAGCCUGAUGCAGCCAUGCCGCGUGUAUGAAGAAGGCCUUGGGUUGUAAAGUACUUUCAGCAGUGAGGAAGGGUGGGUAUGUUAAUAGCUGCUAUUAUUUGUACGUUAGCGACAGAAGAAGCACCGGCUAACUCCGUGCCAGCAGCCGCGGUAAGUACGGAGGGUGCGAGCGUUAAUCGGAAUUACGUGGGCGUAAAGCGCAUGCAGGUGGUUUGUUAAGUCAGAUGUGAAACGCCCGGGGCUCAACCUCGGAAUAGCAUUUGAAACUGGCAGACUAGAGUACUGUAGAGGGGGUAGAAUUUCGA